rnacentral:miRNA from 1 species
UGUCUGUCUGUGUGUGUGUG